UAUAUAAGCAGAGAGGGACUACAAACUCCCCUUAGCAGUAACUACCCAGAAGGUAAUCUGAGAGUCUCCAAAGCUGACCUCCAUGUGUCUUGCAUUGCCUCGUCUCCUUUCAUGCCACUUUCAUGUGACAGACCCCACGAAGAACGCCUGGAGGCUGCACUGUACCACAUUUAUUAUUUUGUCAGAGCUGCCGUGUCUGCCAAAUGGUGGCCAGACACUCAGACAGACUUUAGCAAUUAGCAGAGUCCUGCAGCUGAUGUCUGGGGCUUGCAUAUGUGUUCCCUGUGUGUUACCACAGCCGAGAUGCUGGCUGGGCCCACAUGGCCUGGGGCCUUGGCAUCCUCCUCGACCUCGGGGGAGAGUGACUCUGCACGCUCACCACGGGGGAGCCCACAGGACAUCAGCGUGUGGGGCCACCUCCUGGCACAACUCAGUCUCCAGCAGCACUUAGAAUCUACACCCAGACAUGUGGAUGCUGGAAGGCUAUGCCCAAAGAAGAGGUCCUUCUCUCAAGAGCUUGCAGACCACAGGUGGUCCUGGGGAAAAGGCAGAUUCCGAAAGCAGCUAGCUGGGAUUAUUGGCAGCAACAACCUGAAAAGGCAUCGAGAUGAGCAUAGGCAGCUUCUGACUCAAGUGAGGGAGCCUGUACUGUGGUUACCACACUGGCAGGGGAGGGAAAGGGAUAUUCCCCACCGGUUUUGUACCCUCAGACACAUUUUUUGGUAUUGGAAAUAGUGAAGGGUAAGAUUCACAUCUCUUCAGAGAUGCCCCUUAGAGAAAUUGGGCUGCAAGUUCCGGCCCCAAGCCUGGAUACUGCUCAAAAUGUGGGCUGGCAGAGAGGGAAAUGCUCAUUUGUUCAGCAGGAGGAGAGUGCUGGUAGCACGCCAGGCUGUAUGGCUGGCUUCACUACCCCAAAAAGCAUCAGCUGUUGAAAGAUCACUGACAGUUUUCUGUAAGGUCACUGCAUACUACAACAUCAUUGUGCAGCCAUCCUGGAGACAGGCAGUGAAACUAUUCAGACUGUCGAUGAAUUGGUGAAAAAGGGAUAUCCUCUAACAGGAUCUUCAGGUUGCACCAAGAUCAGUGCAACCACAGCCUGGCCAGCAAAGCCAGACAAGCCAUUCUUGGGUUUUUUUUCAUUUUCUUGGAAAAGAUGUUAUUUGAACAUUUUGCAGCUUCCAUUUAUUUCCCCAGCUCUGUAUUUUUCCCCUUGAUUUUGUCUCUAAUGGCAAAAAGACCCAACCAGACUGCAGCUUUGUUUGGCACCAAACUUUCCUCCUGAGAUGUUCGCACAAGAAGUCUUUUAUCACUUCAGCGGCUCUGAGCCAGAGCUGCUUGUGGUGGAAGUUGCCGGGACUGUAACCCCGGGCUGUCGUGGGACGAGAGUCAAGCUCAGGCUGUCAGCAAAGCGAGUUGCAGCAGUCGGAGCCCCUGCCAGGACACGUCAGUACUUCUGAGCGUGCUUCCCCCGGUGCUGCUGUCAUUAAGGAAAAGGUUUGUGCCAAGGAAGGAGGGCCCUGCUGAACUACCGGACUGCUGCUCUCUUCAGGCAUCGGCAGGCCCCCAGAGCUGCCAGCCGCUCUUCCUUGUGGCUUCUGUGACACUGUGCACAAGAAAUGCUGUCAAGUCACAUUUCCCAGAGGGUAAGGAAGAUUCCUGCUGGGUUUUUUUCCCAGCUAUGUUUUGCUGAAGAAAUAAUUUUAAAGGGGAAAAAGAAAAACCACAUUAUUGUGUAAGCAAGAUGGAAAACAGCUUUCUGCGGGUUCCCAGGUAUUUAUGUGCCAUUCUCUCUGGAACGUUAUUAGCAACAACAUUGCCUGUGGCUGGCUGACUAUUAAGUAUGGAUGGUUUUGCAAUAGCUGUGUGCACACUACCUUCCUUCGCAAGCAACGCCUUUUCCUUAGCUGUCCUCAUGGCUCAAUUUAUUUGUACACAAGGCAACUGUGAGGUUAUCAAGGCUUUCUAUCAGCUGUACAAACUCACAGCAGAAUCAGCUCUGUCUGUGUGUCCCUUUCUGAGAAUUACAGGUUUUGAGUAGCAGGCUCUUGGGCAGCUCUUAGGAGAGAUCUCGUCUUUCUUAUGUAUCUCUCUGUAGCAAUUGCUGCCUAUGCUUAUACUAGAAGCUAUGAGUAUUUAUAGCCAUAUGUGUAAGAAAGAAAAAGUAUAUUUGCUUGUUUGUUUUCCAGCCUCCCCAUAGAAUGGUUCUGAAAGCAGAAGUAGCUUUCACUGUGGAAAAAAAUUGACAAAAACAUCCUCAUUUUUCUCAGAUUUUCUUAGAUGUUUUUCAGAGUAUCGCUAAGACUUGCCAGGCACCUCCCCUUUCCUCCUCUGCCUUACCCCAAAUACUUCUCUUUUUGGCUAAAAAAUCUCAAGUUUGGGAUUUUUUUGACCAACAAUGUCAGCCAAAACCCAGACCUUUUCUGUAAUUUUUCCACUUAAUUUUUAAACUGUCUUCUGGCAAAACAGAAAUAUUGUUUUGAUGGAAAAUUCUCAACCAGCUCGGCUCAUUAGCUUCUGCCAACAGUCAUACAGGCAAAACAGUGCAUCCUCCAAGAGAGGAGACUGUCUGAAGGUCCGAACAUGAGGCAGGCGAUGACUAAUGCUUCUCUCCCUAGCUCCGUGCCCCAGCCAGCACUGUGCUCUUUUGCAGGCCUCAGCCCCUAAUGAGAGCCAUCUUUCUAGAGGUGUCUCCAGCUUAAACCUCUCUUGGCAAGCCAGCUUAGUAAUUCAGGUACUUUGCCAGGUUAAAGGAAGAUGUGGGUGGCACAGAAGGAUCUUCUCUGACCAAAGGACCAUGGGACUCCUCAGAGGAGCCCUGUUGUGCAUCUCUUGUCUGCCUUCACAAAUAGUUGGACCCCUCCAGGCAAGCACCAGUUGGCAGGGAAGGGUGGGGAGAUGGGGAUACUCCAGCUUACUUUCAAAGCAAGCUUUGGUGUGGUGCUGUUAACUGAAAUGUUUAGAUACACCAACAGCUGAGCCAUGCACAGUACACCAUGUAACCCCAAGGGCCUGCAGGGACAAGAUCCCAAAGUGGCUGAUGGGCUGAAAUGACACCAGUCACAUCACUGCUGUAUGUCUAUUACCCAUCUGUCCGUGAGGAGGGGGUUUUCACAUUGAAUCUGGAGCGUGAAUUCAAGGGUAAUCCAGCUCCUCUCAUUUCCUGGGUUCCUGUUAUGAACUGGGAGACAAAGAAGGAAGAUGUUGUUGCAGAGCAGGCCAGAAGUCAAAUUUCAGUGUUUGGCCUCUGCAGCCAAAGCAGUAUCUGCCCAUUGCCUACAUGAGCAGCCUCCUCAGGGCAAGCCUCCUCAGGGCACAGCCAUCCCUCGGGAGUCCCUAAUAUUUGCAAAGUGCUCUGAGGUCUUUCAGUGGAAGACCUUUUAGAUGUGCAAAAGUUUAUAGCCCUUCUCUGACCAUUGCUGAUUUUAGAGGGUUAAGUUAGGAACAGGAAAUAGAGCGACUAAAGGAAAGCCAUUAAUAUUAAAUUCUGCCCUUUGCUAGAUAGUCUUGUGUUAUCUUUGCUCUUUCAUGAAAUAUUUUCUAGUUUUCCUUGCAGGGCAUUCUUUACAGGGGUAGCAACUGAGAAGCUGUAACUUGGCACAUCUCCACCUGCUUUUCUCUAGCAGUGAACAUUUGUGCUCUGGGAUUUGAAGAAUUUCCUUUGCCUCCACAACUGAUAUGCAAACAGUCAGCUGUACAGACAUCAAUCUAUCCAGUAGACAUGCUGCAUGACCUAAGAAAUAAUACAGGUGGUCAGCACCAUGCUGGUGACUCCAGAAUUUCUGGAGCAGACAGACUCAUUUUACUAUGCCUAGAAGAUGGGAGGUCCUGUAUACACCCUCCAGUAACGUAAUCUGCUGUGCUUGACUGAUCACAAAACACCCACCAAGAUUUCCCUAACAAAAUUCUUGAUUUUUGCCAAGGAAAGCAAAGAUUUGCAGGAAAUGAGAGCCGUGACCUUGCCACCUCACAAAUAGCUUGGAGUUCUCAAGAUGCUCAUCUCAGCAGAGAGAUGCUUGUGCCAGAGCAUACAUAGAGUCCUGUGUGGACAGCGCACAGCUCAUCCAGCAUCCCUUUCUUUACCACCUCUAAUAGGCAUCAACUCUGUUGUGAUAAAAGCAGAAAUGGACCAACUUAAUCUUCUCCUGCCUGUUUGCUGUGUUGCUGUAAGUCACACUACAUAUAGGUACAGCUAUGUGAGCAGGUAUGGAAUGAGGGAUGUUAGGACUGGGAGAGGUGAGUGUUUCUAGCUGCAUGACCCAGCUCAUUCUCCCACCAGUGAUUUCAUCACAGCCAAAAGCUGUGUGCUUGAGCUGCCGUGCACCCUUUGGGCAGUUAAAGCCUAAGGGAAAAAAAUCAGAGAGAAAGAAAGGGGGCUCCAGAGUGCCCCUUAGCUCUAAGCAAGUUGUUCUCUAGGGCAAUCACCAUUUCUGUUAAAAAGAAGUCUUUCAUUUCCCAUUGAUACUUCUCAGGUUGCAAGGAAAGCCAUUCUUCUGCUCCUGAAGGCCUUAGCUGCAGACACAGCCUUGGAAGGGAAGCUUGCUCUCAUGGCUACGGCAAAGGAAUGGGAAGCACGAGAUCUGGCAUGAAGUCCUGCUCCCAUUGAAGCCAGUGGGAUAUUUGCCAUUGGCUUCAGGGGAAGCCAAGAUUUCAGUCUGCAGCCAGGUUUGCUGGUGUGUUGAGCUAUGCUGAGAGCAAGACCCAGAAGGGUUCUUGGUUUCCUGAUAAAGCUGUUGCUGCCUCUGCUGCAGAUAGCUGGUUUCUCACCUCACAUUGCCCCCUGCUCACUUUCAUGUUUUCAAAUCUUGUACUUCGGCCAGAAACUCUUCGAGGAAGAGACUGGUUGCAUGGUUUAUGCCUGUUGUAUUGUUCCAUGACUGGAGCUCCGAGACAUCCCCACCCACAAAAUUACCCCCUCCAUUGUGGAUUACGGACAGUGCAAGCAAAUGGCAUAAAACAAUAGCAUAGGGAUGGGGUAAGUGGCUUAAACUCAGAAAAACGUGGGAUUUGCUCAAGGUAAAAAUAACUGUGCCAUUUCCUUCAGGCAGCAGCUUGAAUCGGCUCUGGAAUUAACUCUGAGUGGUUCAAGAGAGCCUAAGAAGAUUGUAAAGGUGGUUCAUCAUUGGGCUUCUCUGCUUCACACCUUCACACCAACAUGAAUUGUUGGGAAUCUUGAUAUUAUAAGCACACCUUUUUCUCAUCUCCUCUCUUUCAAGGUUAGGUGGAAGCCAAAUUGUGUUAGAGGCGAGCCAUGAUACUCAUAAGCCUGAUAGUAAACCUUUCCGAAUUGUUAUUGUUUCCCCUGCUAGUAAGCCAACUCAGAGGUUGCCACGCUGCUGUGGUGACAUGUGUUAAGCAGUGCAUUGUAUAGUGCUCCCCGAUGCAUUGCACACCCUUGUGCCAGCUCUUGCAACCCACACAGCAUCCACCUUUGUGCAGUUAGUGCCAUCCUCCGAAAAGCAGGUGAAGAGAGUGAUCUCAGAGUGGACUGAAAUUAUUGUGUUAUACCAAGCAGUCCCACUUUGGUCCCGUUGUUUUUAUUUGCAUGGACACAUGGAGGAACCUCUGUAUGCCAAGGAAAAGAAACAUUGCAAAUAAUUCUUGCUCUUUAUAUUUCUUCCUGAUCAGGACAUCUCUUUCUAUUCAUUGUAUGAGUUAGGUCUCUACCGCCCCUUUCUGGAAACAUCUGUAAAUGCAUCAUAUCGAUUAAAAAAGGCAUGAAGGUUUAUCUUCUGGACCAAGAAGCUGCCCUGGCUUUCCUCACCUCUCCAGAUGCCACAUUUGACAGCAUCUUCUCCUCCUGGCUAGCCAUAGCUUGUGUUCUCUGGCCACCUGGGACUUGAUGUCAUUCCUUUGACAUUUCCACAAAGAGUAACUGGUGGGAGCAGCUUUCUGUUGCUCUGAGUUUAGCACUCCAAGAGGCAUCAAAGGGUCCUGGCACAGCUUCCCCAGGAUCCCUGCAGAUUUAAAGCCAAGCAUCAUGGGCAACAUGCUCCCAUGCACCCACAUGCCACGCUGACUGUCUCCUCAUGGGCACGACCCCGGAACCAACUCCUCAUGGAGGGGGCCGUGGUGAAAUUCCCUUCUGGCAUCCAGGCCUUGGACCUACAAAGUCUUGCCUGCACGGCUGGUGUCUGCCUGGUGAGACGUGACCCUGGCCCCCACCCUGGCAGCUCCCCAGGCUGCCUGCCCACCACCUGUGUGGGCGUGCAAAGGGCGAGGGCUCCUGCAGCCACAAAGGGUCAGCUCUGUCCCCGAGCCCUUUGUCCCAGCCUGCUGGCUGCCGGAGCAUUGUGCCUGGGCCGGAGGCUGGCUGCAGGACAGCACACAGCUCAGCUCUCUGCAGAGGGCUGCUCGCUUGCGCAGAGUGGGGUACACACAGGCACGUACUGCAGGACGGGGCCUUUCUGUCAUAUGUGGGAUGUGAGCUGUGCUUGCAGCUGGCAACUGCUUUGACUUUGACCCAUUCCCUGGAACUAUUUAUUUAAGAGAAAGAUCAGCAUUUGACCCUUGGCUUUUAGUAAGACACUCCUAGAACUAGCCUCAGAACAAGUGGAAACACUGCCCCUUCCCCCCCGCUUUGGGCGAGAACGCUAUGCCAGAACAAGGGCUAUGGGUGGGUUUUUCUGCUUGUGAAGCUUUUGUUGUGUCUUUUUUUUCUCUUAUCAUCUGAGAAGGUCCCUGGCACUACAGUAAAAGCCCGCACUGUCCAUUGGGGCUACUCUCCUUGUGGUGAAAGUGGUCCAGAGACAAGGUGAAGGUUUCCCUAGAAACAUAUACUCAUUCCAUGGCUCCAGUUAGAGAAGAUUUGUCUGUGUUUAUUGCUAACAAUGUUUCCUUGCAUUCGGCUCAGCUGGGAGCCUGAUUAGUGACUUCUCAGUGGCCUUGAAGCCCAAGACCCAGGUUUCUUUAAUUUUGUCCAAUCUGCUGGAUACUUAGGGAAAUGGCUGGAAAUAUUAUGAAGCAGCUUCUGGCAGUGAAGAGUUGCAGCAAAGGAUUGUAUAGACUCCUGGUAAUUUUAAUUAGCCUGUCCACCUAAGGCCUGCCUGUGCAGGGAGCUGCAGCAUUAACCAGCAGGGUCACAGCCCACAUAGUAAAAGACAUUGUUCUGCUCUUCUUCCUUUUCCUUGCAAGAAACUGAUUUGACUAGCUGUGCUCUGUUUGGUACCUGGUGAUCAUGCUGCUAGUGUUUGUGUCACUUUGCUACUGUUCACAGUUUGCAGUUGCAGCUUUUCUAAGUCUUUAUGGACAGCCAGACACGUUUUCUCAUUGCUUAAUGCAUGCUGGCCCCAGCUUCCCAGAGAGCUGGGAUCUAGGCUGCGCUGACAUGCCAACGUGUUGUGCAGCCUUGGGUGAAUCAGUUCACUUCCCUGUAACUCAGGGAACCACUGUGCAAUAGCAGAGGGACCACUGUAGCAUUGCUUGGCUGCGGCUUUAUAAAGCACUUUGAGCUCCUGGGAAGAAGAAGGGUAAGUGCAAACCUCUCCUGUUACUGUGGUUAAAGGUUGGCUGAGAUUAUGGUUUGAAACGAAUAGAAAACAACAGCCAACAGAGCAGCUCAUAUGUCCUUAAUGGUGGUCAGUUUGGGGGCUGGGCAUUUUCAGGGGCUACUUCACAGCCCAGUUACUGAAAGGGCAGAGCUGGCUUGGGGCUGGGACCCCUCUAUUGGGCUAUGUGCAAGACAGGAGGAGCUGUGUGAGGGCCAUGCUUAGCCUUAGCUUUUGCUGUAACAAUUACAAUGAUAAAGUCUCAGUUUUCCCGAUUUUCCUCCCUGCAAGUUGGUUUAAAGGGAAUGAAGGCAGAUCCUGCUAUAGCUUAGUACAUUACUAGCCAACUCAAAUGACUCCCCACUGUCUUUUCAUCUACAUAAGACUCUAAGUGUCCUAAGUCUUUGCAUGUCCUGGCACUCAGCCCAAUUGAAGCAUGUGCUCCAACAGAAGUUUUAAAUUUAAAGCUGUUCUUUUGGCUUCAGAAAUUUGCAGAUUGAAGCUGAGAGAUGCGAUUCAGCUGUUUACUUGCAGAUCUGCAACAGCCCUGCUGUGCUAUUGCACUCACCUCAGUCAGACAGUUGUGUUAACAGCACUUUCCAAUUAAAGUAGUAGCCUCAGUUACAGAAAAUGCUUUUCCUAUCUGGGAAUUUAUCUGAUUUAUUUUUUUUAAUUACUUAUGGAGCACAGGGAUGUUUUGUUUCCCAUCCCUUAUUAUAAUUAAUCCAUUAUCACUUCUGGCGACAGGGCUGGCUUUUGCUGGCUUUUUAUUUCUUGCCAUUUCCAGCAUCAGCAUGGGCCAAUACCACUCAGACACCACAUUACCCACAUGAUGGGAAGCACUGAUACAAGCAAUCAGGCAAAUAUCAGGUGCACAAGUAACUCCUGAAGUUCUGCUCACUCAGAACAGGAAAAAAGAAACCCUGGAAAUAGCCCUGCCAGAAAAUCCCAGAGCCUGAACUGAAAUGCUCCUACUCUGAGAACUUGGCUUUUAUGACCUUCACCGCCAAGAUCAAGGCUUUUCCUCAUUACCUGAACAUUCAGUCUCUGAGAGAAUAAAUGGUAUAGCAUGAACCCAGCAUCUUUCUUCAUGGUGCAGUCAGGCAAGAGCAUCUUUUUUUCCUUUCGCCUCACUGAAAGAAACGUGCUGGGCUCCAUCCUGCCUGCAGUGCAACUAUCUCAGCAAGGGUUGUCCAGUGGGAUGCAGUGGCAUCUGAACUGAGACCUGGGAUUCUGACUCCAGCCAUAUUUGCCAUGCAGCAAUGUGGUAACUGUCCACCGGUUUAAUGCGCUUUGUAACGUGAGUGCAGAACUGCUUAGGCUGGGACUGCAGGAACUGGAGAAGGACCAGAUAACAAUGACAAACCCACAGGCUGCAGCGCUGACAUCCUGUCCCAUAAGGCCACAAAGCCCCUCUGUCCCACGACAUGCUUUUCCCAUAGCUUCAGCAGCUGUAGCUGUCACUCUGGGCUUGUGCCCAGCACAGUGACCCUCAAAUCUUGGAGCACCUCAGUUCUGCAAGGCCCUUGCAAGGCUGCUGCAACCACAGACUCCCAGACUGACGAGAAAGCAGAGGCGGCUGCUGCCCCCAUGUGUUACUGCUCAUUAUUGUUGCCAUGCUCCAGUAAAGACGUGGGAACCCUAUUGGCAAGCAUGAAGGGGAGCCGGGCUAAGCACAGCACGGCCUCUCAGCCACCGAGGUGAAAGAUUUUGCUUUGGAAGGCUCUUCCAUUCCUCCUACAAGCUCAGGGCCUUCCCAUGGGCACCUUAUAUUCGAAAAAAUUGCAAAGUCAGAUUGGACAUGUUUGGAAGUAAGACGAGCUGGAGACAGCAUGGAGGCAUGCGAUAGGCAGCCAAGCACAGAGGUGGCAUCAUCCUGUUCUGAAAGGAUGCACACGCUACAUUCGGAGACUGCCAUGCAAUGCCGAACCAUAUUAGAUAUCAGCACAGCGUGUUCAGGCUUGUUGGCUCAGACCACAAGGAGCACAGAGCGAGAGACAGCUCUUGGCAGGCUGAGCUCACAUGAUAAGGUCAUUGGAAAGACAAGUGAUGCUUUCAGCAGCCUGCCUUUCCCCAGUAUCAGCACCAGCUUGAGCAAGGACUCACUUUGUGUAAUACACUGUGCUCCGCAUAGUGCCAAGGACAAAAGCUUCCUCACAAAUACAUUGAAGCUGUGCUUUUCCAACCUGUCUCAGCCUCCAGCUCCCAUCCUUCUUGGCCUCGUUAGGUUCCAGUUUUGAACCUCUUGGAAGAGUUGCAUUCCCUUUGGAUCAGUGGCAUCUCUCAAGCAGAAGGGAGAACAGGCUGUAGUUACUGGCUAUCUAUCUGCUUCUUCCCAACAGUUAUAAUUUACUUUUUGCACAUUCAUUAGUGAUCUCAUGGUUUUGUCCUUGUCUGUUGAGCAGUACUUUGUUGGGGCUGCACACGCUAAUUAUUCUAGACAGCAUCAGUCCCACACGCUGCCUGAAGCCUGGGGUGAUAGUUUGGUAGCAGCAGCCAAACUUUCACUGGCCCAAAUCAAGCCAGUUUGUGGCUCAAGGGGGUCACGCAGCCCAAUGGUUCUGGCCACCACUAACACAGCUUCUUGGAAAGGUAGGGUUGGCUGUUUGCCGUCCUUUCACCAAGAGCCUUUUUGGCCCUGGCACCAUUAACAGAUGGGCCAAGGAGCAAUGCCUCAGCUAAACAUUGUCUACAGACUACCCUGGACACUGCCUAGAGCUCCCUGAGAACAUCUGAAGGGAACAACAUGCGCUGGCAGGGCUUAUGUGCUCCAGCAAUUGGGAAUUGCAAACACAUGCUUCAGCUAUGCAAGAAAUCUUUGACUUGUUCUGAAUGUGAUUCUGCCUGGGUUUCUUCCCAGGAACAUUCCUGCUCUUCACAAUUUACCA